rnacentral:lncRNA from 1 species
GGGAGAGCGGGGAAGGGCGGACCAGGCAGGAAACUCCCCCAGGAAGGGGCCCUGAUCCUGCCUCAGGCCGGAGGCUCCGCCGAGGUCCGCUCGCCCCCACCCCACUCACUGCCGCCCCCGCCGCCCCAGCCCGGCUCAGACCCCCACUCCCUGAGCACAGGCCUCUGAUGUCAUUUCCUGACCUGCCUCCCCCUCCCCGCCCGACCCGCGGGUGCCCGAGAUCUGACUCACCGUCCCCCUCCGGGCUUAGCCGGCGGAGGUGGGGCGGGUGCCGCCGAGGUAGCCACGCAGCCCCUGUGCGCCUCCGGCCCGGCCCAGCGACCUCCUCUCGGGCCUGCCGUUACCCGGUCCCCUCCUGCCACCACCCGCUACCCGGCCACCCCGAGUCCGCCUGGGGUGGCCGAACGUAUGGAGCUGGGCUCCAGGGUGCACGGGGAUGGGGGGUGAGGAGCGGGGCGUUCUCCCUCCCAGCACCCCCCAGCUGACUCUGUGCCCGGAGGGGGUGUGUGAGCCGGAACCUCCAGCAUUCUUGGGGAUACGAACUUCCAACGCUGGGCAGCCUCUUAAGGCUUCUAGGAAUUCGCAUCCCCAGCGCCCCAGCCAGCAGAUCGGUUGCGAGAGGGACCGUUCGGGUCCGCGGGGCCGGGAAUGGAGGUGGGAGGGCGGGGCCGAGGCGGCGGCCGCCUGCGGACUGGAGACCCGGGAGGACGGACGCGGACGCGGGCUGCUCGUCUUUUACGGCCCUUCAACGCCCACCACGACCCACUCCUCUUGGAGACCCCGGGCGACGGUGGGGCUCUUGGGCAUUCUGAGACUGCGCUUGGUGGAGACCCCGGGCGACGGUGGAGCUCUUGGGCAUUCUGAGACUGCGCUUGGUGGAGCCCCCUACUGGCCAGACUGGAUUUCUCAGCCUGCGACUCAGCCCCAGGCUACACGAAAGAAGCCAGACCUGGGUAAUUCUUCUAGUUCUUUUUUUUUUUUUUUUUAAUUGCACUGGGAAACUUCCCCAAUCUCGGCCCCAGUUCUUUCUCCAAACUAAGGAGUCAUGGCCUUUCGCCCGCUAGUCCAGUAUGCACCCGUAGGCGCUUCAUUUUCUCUCCUCUUGUCAGCUUUUACUGCCUCCUGAGGCCUUCGUCUUGUUCACACUGAGUGUCCAGUCCCUCCAAAUCCGGCUACACUCUACUGGCAAGGAGCACCUGGGCCAUGUUUUAGAGAUCAUCCGAGGACUAACCCCAAAAGUUUAUGAAGAGAAAGCAGAGGCCGAGCUGAAGAGAUGGACCCGGGUCACACCCAGGUAAAGGCAGGAUCUAAACUGAAACUGGUGUCAGAUCUGGUUGCCUUGCACCCCUGAUAUCAGGUGAAGCAACACUGGGCAGGAUAGAGCAGAGUGAGGUCAGAGUGUGAAGAUCCAGCCUGAUGCCCAAACUGACGCCUCUUCAUUCUCCCCUGCUCCAUCUGUAAAC